AUAGAGGGUGAGAAUCCCGUCUGUGACCGGUGACCGAUCCCAUGCGAAACCCCUUCGACGAGUCGAGUUGUUUGGGAAUGCAGCUCAAAAUGGGUGGUAAAUUUCAUCUAAAGCUAAAUACUGGCUGGAGACCGAUAGCGCACAAGUAGAGUGAUCGAAAGAUGAAAAGCACUUUGGAAAGAGAGUCAAAAAGUACGUGAAAUUGUUGAAAGGGAAGCGCUUGCAACCAGACCUGUCCGUGGGUGAUCAGCCGCCGUUCUCGGUGGUGCACUCGCCUACGAUCAGGCCAGCAUCGGUUCGGGCGGUCGGACAAAGGCCUUGGGAAUGUAGCUCCUCUCGGGGAGUCUUAUAGCCCUCGGUGCAAUGCGGCCAGCCCGGACCGAGGACCGCGCUUCGGCUAGGAUGCUGGCGUAAUGGUUAUAAGCGACCCGUCUUGAAACACGGACCAAGGAGUCUAACAUCUAUGCGAGUGUUUGGGUGUCAAACCCAUACGCGGAAUGAAAGUGAACGGAGGUGAGAACCCUUUAGGGCGCAUCAUCGACCGAUCCAGAUGUCUUCGGAUGGAUUUGAGUAUGAGCAUAGCUGUUGGGACCCGAAAGAUGGUGAACUAUGCCUGAAUAGGGUGAAGCCAGAGGAAACUCUGGUGGAGGCUCGCAGCGGU
rnacentral:rRNA from 1 species